rnacentral:lncRNA from 1 species
UCGAUUUUUGCAGCGCAUUUUGCAUCAACGCCAUGGCUCAAUGCCACCCAAUGACUCGAAUUGUUUCGCUAUUACUCUGCUUCACUUUAUACAAGCAACUUCAAACUUUUCAGGUUAUUUUUGUUGUGCAUCUACCUCCCGCUUACCAGGUUUCCUUUAAAACACUAAAGCCAGCGUCAGUUAUCAAAAUAUAAAUUUAUGACUUUUUUUUACUUUGGUUUCUCGGCUAGUCCCCAUAACACAGGCUUUCUUCAGAAACAAAAGAAUAAUUGCGCAGUACAAUAACAUAAAAAAAUUAAAUGCAAAUGAAAGUUUCACGAAAGUAUUCAUUGGUUCUGAAUUCGUAAUUUGCAUGCUAGAUGUGCAUGGUACAAAGCAUAAUGGAUCCGUUUUUGUCCCUUGUACUUUUUGUAUACACAGGUCUGACUAAAUAUCACAGUAUGGGAACAGACCAAUCACGAAUCAAGGCGUUGUAUGCCAGUCAUGAGUCUGUUCUCCGUUGACAACAUGGCAGCUCCUCCAGUGGCUCCUUGCUCAGAAGCACUCAUCAUCGAAAUUGAGCGGUGUCCAUGGCUAUGGAACGCAAGCCGUAUGGACUACAGGGACACUGGGAAGCGCAAAAAUUCCUGGAAGGCAAUUGGAAUCGCUUUCUGUGAGUAUGACCUCUUAACAGAACUAUAUAAUUUGCGCCUCAACCCAGGGCACCUCUGGACGGCCUGCCUUCAUCGCACGCUUGUUGCCUUCUGUCUAACUUUCACUAUGCAUGAACGUUCCCGUUCACGGUCAGCUGCACGCGCCUGGGCGUACACUCGAAGCUCGCAAGACGCCAAAGUGUUAUCAAAGAUUUGUUUUGGGUCACGCCGGAGGCGAUAGUGCCAAUAGACUUCCCUGCCAUUCGCAAAGAAACGUUUGCGAAGUUCUGCAUGCCAAAUCAAGGAAGGCCGUCGCAUACCUCAGCGAUUAAUUUACAUCACCUGGGAUUCUUUGAACGUGAAACUGAAAUCUCGGUUACCUGGCACCUUCUCUCCAGCUAGGAUUCCAACCCACCAACUGGGGAUUCGAUUCUUUGGGCCGGCGGUUUGCCUCGGAGCCACAGAUGCGGCCUCCCUGCAGCUGUCUGUGACCAUUCACGUCCGAGUGGGCAGCGCACACCCACCCACAACCCACUGCUCGCACCUCUCGUUUGCGUACCUCGCAUAACCAUUUCCCAAAGUCAUGGCACGAAAUGGGAAGCCAUUAUUAAUCGAGCGAUCAGUAAUGAAGAGAUCAAACAGGCAGAACAUAAAAAGACUACAUUUCAAGAUGCUGAAGGAGGUUUGUAAAGUUUGGGUUGAAUACUGGCAAGCAAACCUGGUGCAUGUCUGUUGCACCUAUUGGCUGUCCUAAUUGAAGUUGUGUUAUAAAUCUAGUUCCAUCAUGAUUUCUGUUCUAAAACUUGUAUUCAUAAGCGAUACUUUAGUUAUUUAUGCCACAUUUACUUCAUUCACUUCAGGCAGCGACUCUAACGCCUGCUGUCAGGCUUGGCUGGCCAUGAGGGCCAAGUAUGCGAGAGAAUCGAAGAAACAAAGAGGCCGGAGCGGUGCUGGCCGCGAUGGUCUUGCCGUGCCAACAUGGCACCUCUUCAAGUAACUGGCCUUCCUUAAGGGCCAGAUUCAGCACCGACGCACCAAAGUGCUCCCUGUUGCGGGGGGAGUGGCGUCCACUUCUGCAGCGGCAGCAGACGUUGAAAAAUGAGGCUUGAGCCCAGAGGCAAGUUUGCUUACACGCUACCGGUCUUUAUUCGGAGUGCAGACAAGCUGGCUAAGUUGACGUCAACCAGUUGGUGGCCAAAAUUACCUUCAGGGCUCCUAUUUUGGUCAUGGGUGAGAGCGAGAUCAUUCUCGGCUGUUGACUAUUAUCGUUCAUUAUCAACUAACGAAACAAAAUUAAAUCCGUUUUGCAGUCUACGGUCAGGCAAUAUUUCAGUGACAACUUCUUGCCAACACACAAAUGAGAAGAGAGGUGGCUUCUGACGUGCCUGUCCCAUAUCGCCCAUCUACUGGUCAAUAUUGGGAUUUGUAUGGCUGCAAAACAAUUUGAGAUUUGCUAAGGAACCACAAGUUUGGCAAUUGCUUCCAAUGUCGAAUUGCAAACGGUAGUUUCAGCCAGGAACGGAUUCAGAGGGGAGGUCCGGAUGUCCUGACCCCCCUCUUGAUUUCUGCAUGUGUAAAAAUUUAGGGCGUGUGCAUGUGUAAAACUUUUCCUUACCGCCUUAUCUUUAUGUUUUCUAAUAACAGUGCACAAAUUAAAUUCAGGUUUGCACCCACAGUCAAGGCAGUGCAUUGACAAAUGAUCGUCAAGCUGUCCGCUCGCUUUUUGGUUGUGUUCGCGCAAUCUGUCAUUUAGACAUCUUCCCGUCUGUCCCACAUACUUUUUACCGCACGUCAGCGAGAUCUGAUGGACGACUCUCGCUGCGCAUUCUACAAACAAGCUGCGAUGCUUCUUCACGCAGCCAACCGGUGGUUUGCGGUGAGGGUCCGUCAUUUUGCACAACUUGGCAAGUUUUUCCGGUGCAGAAAGAACCACCCGAGCAUUUACGUGGUUUGCUAUCUUUUUGAUAUUGCGUGCGGUUUUGUGCAUGUAAGGCACAACCGCCAGACUUUGUUUCUUUUGAGCCACAUCUUGGUCUGGACUCGCUACUACUCGUAGCUUCUUACAACUUUUUUUGCAGCCGACACCAGGAGCGUCCCUGGAAAACCGGCAGCCACCAAGCGUUCUGACUGCUCCUUCAGACUUUAAGGCAUUGCAUGAUGACACAACCUUCUGAUGGAGUUCACAAAGCACAAAUUUACAAUUCCUCUCUUAACAAGUUUCAAAUGAGAUGAAUUGAACGGCAACAGGGGCUUAUCUGCUCUUGGUUGGUAUUUCCAACACACGUGUUGUUCCAAAAGUGUGAGCCUGAUAUCUAGAAACUGUAUGACGUUGUCCACAAGUACCUCGUGCGUAAGCUUGAGAGGAUCAAGGAUGGUACUAAAAACUGUUAAAAGGCUGUUCACCACCAAGGAAAAGUGAGAAACAUCAUGGUGAAGAAAAACUAAAUAAUUGUCGACGAAUCUAAAAACCUUGCUACCAUUAAAGUCAUUCAGGCAUUCCGAGAGAACUCUGUCAUGAUGGGCUAAAAAUAUAUCACGUAAAACUGGAGCUAAACACUAGCAAAUACACACCCCUCGCUUCUGAAUAUACACUCCCCUGUUCCACUCAACAAAGGUCGAGUUUAGAUCAAAUGUAAGCAAUUCGAGAAAGUCAUCUACAGUCAUUCCUGCUGCGUUCUGAAAGGCCACCACCCCGUGUUUAUCGAUGCUUUCCUCUACGCAGGUCAGUAGUUUGUCGUGCGGAAGGGAAUAGUAUAAAUUCUUUAUGUCUAGUGAGCAGGCUAGAAAACGUGACGGUCAUUUGUCGAUGCACUUCCAUGACUGUGGGUGCAAACCUGAAUUUAAUUUGUGCACUGUUAUUAGAAAACAGAGAUAAUACAGUAAGCAAAAUUAUAGAGGCAGACCUGAUAAAAAAACUACGGAGAUCGAUGUGUCAGCGUGGCGUCGAUCGAUUUGGGCGACAAAGAGACACAGUUCUUGAGAUCAGUGGCGUGGCAUGGGAUUGGUUGAAGGGCGCGAUGAUGCAGAGUAUUUAUACCCUUGAUUUUCUAACGAACCAGUUGAAGUUGGUGCAUUGUGUUGUCUCAUUCCUACUCUUCGUCCCAGUCGUGAAGCGCUAUUAUGUUCUCCAAGUUUCAGUACCAACUCGCCCAAGAAUCCGCAUUACUCAACUCCUUUUCUUUUCAAUAAAAUCUUCAGUUGAGAGUAAUCGCUUGUCCUGUGUACACCCUUCUACUCCAUCUUCGUUUCUUGUGCGCUGUGUCCCAAUCCGCUAAAUAUAAUCCAAUUUAUAUGAAAUAAAUCUUAUUUAAAUAAAAUAAACCUAAAUUACAUCAAGUAAAAUUUUUUUAACAAAAAAGCUACCUUUUUUUUUUGCAGUCAAGUAAGCACGGAAAUAAUGACAUCUCUCCAUGCACCACAAAUUACAAAUGGGACCUAGUUAAUAAACAGUCCUGUAAUUCUUUACUACAGACUAUCCAGAAAAGCGGUUGCAUUGUGUGACCCUCGUGCGUGAAUAGAAAUGUGUUUUACACAUAUCUAUUUGUUUCGGCCACAAUUACGUUAAUGGCUCAGGUAUUUUUUAUAUUCUUUUGCAAAAAAUAGUGCUUUGAAGCAAGCAUAAUUUUUAUACAUUUUGACUCAAGACUGGGAAGGGAUGGAAAAACACAAGGUCUUGUGUUUGUCCAUCCAUUCUCUUCCCAGUCUCGAGAUUUUUACCGUAGAAUACCAUGCAUCCGCCCAUUUCACAUUAAGCGCCCAUUACCGAAUUUGCAAGAUCUGAGAAAUAUGCGCACAUUUAUAUGUAAAAUUGAUGACUGGACAAGCACUCAUCCACCAUUUUUUUGCGAUUAUCUCCAAAAUUUGAUUGGGCGCUUGCCCGGUAUUUUACGGUAGUCAAAAUGUUAAACCAACACCAGCUCGUUUGCACCCUUACCUUUUGUUCAAUAACUUUUAUUGUGUAUUAAUUAUAAACAUGGAAGUUCCGUUAUGAACCCUGUUUUGACAGAUUUUUAGAAAACUAAUUCAUACGCUCCUAAACCAUAGUAUGCAUUUUGGAGGGAUGUGGCCAUGAAGUAAUUGAACGUGUCUUUAUAUUAUUAAAGUCGUAACCAAUGACGCUAUUUAGUCGCUGCUGAAGGUUUUUUGGACAGUUGUAUUACACUCAACACAAACAGGCUCAUUUUGUUCGUAGGCCACUAAUUUGCUGUUGGAAAUUAUAGUAUUAAAAACUUCAAUAUGCCAAUCUGCACCGAUGACUUUUUGCAGCAUCCUAUGCGAUAUUCAGUUACAAUAUUUUGGAGUACUUACAGUUUUAUGUCGUCACCCAUAUCCUUUUCCAGUUUCAUACUAGUUGCGACUUCACAAAAGUGAAGUCAAAGAAAAAUUGCACUUUUGAAUGUUGUUUAAAUUUUACUAGCGCAUGAGUGGAAGGCAGUAAAAGAGUUACAAUGAUAUACGUAAAACUCUCCCAUUACCUCGCAACUUUUCGCUUUCCCCCGUUAGUCGGGCCACUAACAACCGAGUACACUUUUUUGACACUCACCUGCCGGGUUCUGACUCAUGAGCCCUACUUCGUUUGGACGGGGCCGUACUUGAAUCACAUCUCUGAAUUCGUGUCAAAUAAAACUAUUAUUACUAUGUCCGUGCCUGCCGACAAUAUCGAGGAACUCGCCAAUUCUGCAGUGUUGCCAAAACCUUCCCUCAAAGCUUUAAGAGGCAGCCAAAGGAACGACCUCCUGCACGUCUCGGAAGGAGCCCCCAUGUCCAGUGAAAAGAGAUGGGUCACGUCGAUUUAUUUUAUCAGAACAUCCGUGGCUAACGUACAAAAAUUGAACGCUUUUGUACGGACGUGGAGUCCGGCGCCGCAAUUGGCGGCAACAUCCCGCAGAGCCCUCGAGCUCCGAAUCACUACAGCUGCCGACUCCAGUCCCUGGCACAUGGACGACGGCGACACAGCGACACAGGACCAACUUUGGAGCCGCUGGUGCAUUGGCGGCAAAGUGAUAGCCUCCUCCUUGGCUACACCACUGGAUGCAAGGGAGGUGGCACGUGCACCUACCAUAAUGACGAGAUGUUUCAGUGACAUACUCUUAAGUUGCGAUCACACUGCUAAUCCCGAUUGGUCAAGAGACGGUCUUCAGGGACACUGUCUGAGGCUUUUCCUUCCAUGAUGGUCAUAUUGGUCACUCAAGAACUGACUGCAGACAUGUUCGAAGCCCACACAUUUAUCGAACGAACAUCCUUCGAAGAUGCUCGAGACGUUUCCGCAGGUACUUCCGUAGUGAACAUUGCGCUUUUGUAGGAUGCACGAGCAGGUCGACUUUGCGAUUCCAACCCGUAAAGUCAAUGCUGUUUAUUCCUUCGUAACGUUUGAUUGUAAUUAUUGUUAUUUGUUCGUACCAUCCUGAUGAGGUUCCCGGUUUCAGGCUUGGAGGUGAUCGAAUGUCACAGAAUGUGGAAGGCCAUCCGCAACCGCUAUGUUAAGAGACGAGAGCGGCGAAAGGCAAGAGUAAAGCUGGCGAGGAGGAUGUCCAGCCUCCCACGUGGGUUCUUUUCAAGUUCCUGGGGUUCCCCGAUGGUCAAAUCUGUGCAGAUGGUAGGCACAGAAUGUUUUGGACAACAAAGGGCACUGCAGAUUGUGCCGUAUUUUGUAUGCAUUGUAACGAUGACGUGGCAGAACCCUGGUUUGUCCCAAGACAAAAGGAGCCUCACACAACACCAUGUCUACAAACUGGAGUGAAGGAGCCCCCACUUCCGUGCCAGGAGAGAUCCUUGCGGAAAUGUAUUGCCCUGGAGAGACCGCAACCCCCGCAGAAAAUAGACAGCCUGGGAUGCCUGCUGAUGCCGAGAUGGAAGACAUACUGUAGCAUGAAGACAUACAUUUUAUUUAACAACUGCCUUCGAUAAGCAUGUUUGCAAGUGGCUCCUGUGUAAUUACCCUUUUCUCACUCUCCUCUUUCAUUUAAGCGAUUGGCUAUUCUUGGAGGCAGGUCCAAAGAUUCGCCGGUUUGUCAUGUCCUUUAUAAUUAGGAUUCCAUACUUUUGCGGGUUUAUCGGAGCACCGGUAAACCCUGCAAAAUUGACCUGCGGUCCAGUUCUGUCAGUGUCGCAGAAAACCGAAAACCCCCAAAUUGGAGCAGUUUUUGAAUGAAGAAUCCUAAGCUUCACUCAAAGAAAUAGUUCUGUGCUGCUUUAUUUUACGGUGUUAGAACACACUCCCCAAUUAACUGUUUACGUCCCUGGUAUCUUUGGAACACCCCUUAUCUAGUUCCUUUUUUUUUUUAUUGGUACGGAAAAUAAAUGAACUCACAGAUUUUAGUAGUAUAGAACGCCAAAGCUGAAGUCUUCUGAGUGACACCAUAACUAGAUGUAACAGCGCUCUUUAAUAAGAGUUUGUGUUCUAAUUUAUUAACACUUGUUUGCCACAUUCUUGUGCAGGAAAACAAAAGAAACUGACAAUUGAGGAAGCUCUCGAUUUAUAUCUUAGUCUACCAGAUAACGCUGAUGACCGUAAAAAUGAAUGGGAAGAAUCCGACCACAAAGCGCCGUCCGACCUUGACGCCGAAGAGAGCAUCGAGGAGAAGCAAGUGACCCCAGGGACGCAAAAUCAGAAAAGGCAAGCCCCGAAAAGACUUCACGGUCAGCCCCAAGAAGCGUCGCAUCUCGACUGACAAAUCAGUCGCUGCAGAAGAUGGUGCAGUUGCCGAAGGAGUGUGGCCUUCACAACAAAGCCUUCAGAGGGCAGCAUGCCACUGGACGCAUUCCAACUUUAUUUUUCUGAAGACGUUAUCGGUCACAUUACAGUCCGGACCAACUUGUAUGCAAGUCAAACGAGAAGAACAGACUAGGACCCCUAUCACGCCCGAAGAACUGAGAGCAUAGGUCAGAAUGCUCGUCCUUACGAGUAGAGACCCCAUGCACCAUCUUCAUCUUUAUUAGAGUUCGGACAGCCUGUAAAACGUGAAGGAGAUCUCGCAAGCGAUUUCGUGCGAGAGAUUCCAAAAAAUAACAAACUGUCCGAAUCUAAACGACAACACUCAUGACAGCGGGGAUGCGGAAGACAAUGAUCGCUGCUACAAAAUGCGUCCACUGAUUCAUAUGAUGAAAUAAAAGUUUGAAAGCGA